UCUAUAUCUUUUUUUUUUUUUUACAAACCCUUUUAAUAGUGUACAUCGUAUCUAUCGGAUUGAAUUUUGAUUUUAAGACGUUAACUGUUAAAAAAUAAGUACGAUGAAUAAAGAAUACAAAUACACUGAAAAAAGACAAUAAUUUCUCUCAUUCUGACUCACUUUAUCAAAUCCUUAAUUUCCAUUCACAUUGUGGCUUGAUGGUUCGUUUUACUACAUUUAAAAAAUCUAUAGGCCACCACUCAUAUAUCUAUUCUAGCGUGAAGUGAGAUUUAAACUCUGAAUCUCAUAUUUGGUCAGAGAUGUGUCACCCACUUUUCUAAGUAAUGUUGGUUCGAUCAACAAUCUUUCUAUCAGCAAAUAGAGAGAGAGAGAGAGAGAGAGAGAGAGAGUGAGAGAUUAUUGCUCUGAUAGUCAGUGUGUCAGCAAAGCAAUCUGCCAAUGAGAAUGCAACAAAUUAUCUCAAUUAUUAUUGAAACUCCUCUAAUUACAAUCUCUAAUGUCACCUUUU
rnacentral:lncRNA from 1 species